rnacentral:rRNA from 1 species
AACGAACGCUGGCGGCGGGCCUAACACAUGCAAGUCGAGCGAGGACUUCGGUUCUAGCGGCGGACGGGGGAGUAACGCGUGGGAAGGUGCCCUUCUCUACGGAAUAGCCCUGGGAAACUGAGAUUAAUACCGUAGAGGCCCUUUUGGGGUAAGAUUUAUCGGGGAAGGAUCGGCCCGGGUUGGAUUAGGUGGUUGGUGGGGUAAUGGCAUACCAAGCCGACGAUCCAUAGCUGGUGUGAGAGGAUGAUCAGCCACACUGGGACUGAGACACGGACCAGACUCCGACGGAAGGGAGCAGUGGGGAAUCUUAGACAAUGGGGGCAACUCUGAUCGAGCCAUGCCGCGUGAGUGAUGAAGGCCUUAGGGUUGUAAAGCUCUUUCAGCUGGGAAGAUAAUGACGGUACCAGCAGAAGAAGCCCCGGCUAACUCCGUG